rfam:Trachymyrmex cornetzi contig56235, whole genome shotgun sequence.
CCAUCGGCCUUUUUCAAGGCUACUCUUGUUUUCUUCCACAUGCUUU